AUAUUAUUAUCCACCAUCAAAUCCCAGGGCUCAACCCUGGACAGGUGGUGGAAACUACCAAGUUGGAGUACGGUAGGGGCAGAGGGAAUUUCCGCUGGAGCGAUGAAAUGUGUAGAGAUUGGGAUGAACACCAACGGUGAAAGCACUCUGCUGGCCUACGCCU
rfam:Daucus carota subsp. sativus cultivar DH1 chromosome 9, whole genome shotgun sequence.